rnacentral:rRNA from 1 species
AUUGAACGCUGGCGGCAGGCCUAACACAUGCAAGUCGAACGGUAACAGGAAACAGCUUGCUGUUUCGCUGACGAGUGGCGGACGGGUGAGUAAUGUCUGGGAAACUGCCUGAUGGAGGGGGAUAACUACUGGAAACGGUAGCUAAUACCGCAUAACGUCGCAAGACCAAAGAGGGGGACCUUCGGGCCUCUUGCCAUCGGAUGUGCCCAGAUGGGAUUAGCUAGUAGGUGGGGUAACGGCUCACCUAGGCGACGAUCCCUAGCUGGUCUGAGAGGAUGACCAGCCACACUGGAACUGAGACACGGUCCAGACGCCUACGGGAGGCAGCAGUGGGGAAUAUUGCACAAUGGGCGCAAGCCUGAUGCAGCCAUGCCGCGUGUAUGAAGAAGGCCUUCGGGUUGUAAAGUACUUUCAGCGGGGAGGAAGGGAGUAAAGUUAAUACCUUUACUCAUUGACGUUACCCGCAGAAGAAGCACCGGCUAACUCCGUG